GAGCAUAACCUCCUGCUCUGACGCGGACAUCCACAGCUAUCUUGUAAGCUUUCCAUCAGUGUACUCAGGAGACUCCCUCAGAGCUUACAAAAGCUUGGAGGCUUACAAAUGGUGUCAGUCCGGCUUCGUAAACAACAUUCAACUGUGGAGUCUUACAUCCAAAAACUUCGGCAUCAUCACUGCAAGGGUUAAUCACUCCCAAAGGCUUAAUGAAAGUCAACUAAAGCCAUGGGUGGUGGUCAGGAACGACGGUGUUGUGCUGGGAGCCCACUGCAACUGCACAGCGGGACUCGGGGAGAGCUGCUCUCAUGUGUCAGCUGUUCUCUUCAGUCUGUGGGGAAAAAACAACGAAAGGCACGAGGAGAUCAGCUGCACAUCCAAGAAAUGCAAGUGGGCCUCUCCCAGUGAGGAUGCUGCGAAGAAUGUGGAGUACCUGCAGGGCAAGGA